ensembl:lncRNA
GAGCACGUUUGUUAGGAUGUGCAAUCAUACAGUGAGGAUGUACAAUUACAAAGGAGAUAAUACUUUAAUUCUAUAUACUUUUAUUUUAUUACAGGGAUGCAGCCGCUACUCUACUUUUUUUCACAUUAACUUCCGUUUUUCACUUGAGUUCCAUCUGUUAGCUUUAUGCCACCAAAGCAUCAUAUUUUACCUUGGUUCACAGCACUUCUCUUCCUGUACUGAGUCAAUGUUUCUGAUGUUUUCAGCUCUGCUCUUUGUUUUAGUUAAACUUCAGACAUUUGGGAACUUCUGUAAUCACUUCUCUCUCUCUUUUUUUUUUUUUUUUUUGUCACACUUUGGAGUUUUGUAUCAUUUUCUAGAGUUUCCCCAGUGAAAAAUGAAUACCCCAGUGUCAGCCUCGUUCCUUAAGCAACAACGUUUACAUGUUGCACAGCUGUCAGUUUCUUGCUGACAGCUUUUAUUUUUUGUACUGUUGCUAUAUUGAUGGACUGGAGAGAUCUCAAAGAUAGAAUAUGUCUACUUGCUGCUGUCAACUGGUAGCUGGAUAGAACAAUAAGAUCUAAAUUGGUGCCAACAACAUAGUUCCUGUAGUGUUGAUCAGCUGGGAGAUGUGGCAGCCAGCCAGCUGCAUGAGUGCUGAUCAGUCAAUGUGUGUGAUGCUCUGAGCUGACCUUGGCACCUGGAGCCCAUGGAAAAAGCAGGAGGCCACAGGAGCAAUGGGGAUGUGGCAAGGAGGAGUAGAAGCAGCAGCUGGGUGGCUGCACUGCAUGUGUUCUGUACAGAACUAGGAGCCUUCGGGUUUGCUGCCUGUUGUGCAGUUGGCUACAGAGAUUAUGCAGCACUACAGGUAAAAUAGGAAGGUUUGCAGUAUAUACAUGUGUAAUCACUUUGAUAUCUGGUCAUAACCACAGUUCUUUUCAAGUAAGCUCACUGAAGAUGAGAAACCCAGCAGAGUGACUUGAAACAUCAGUGGGUCAUGUGAAGAAUGUAUUUCCUUUCUUACAGUGCUGGUUGUAUGAGGGAUUGCCCCACGAAACAUGCACACUGAGGGAAACAACAACUAUGUAUUUAAAGGCAUAAUGUAUACAUAUUCAUUACAUUCCAAGAAAUUGGUUACAUAUGCACUGAGUUUCUGAGACUUAGUUAACAUAGUGUCCUGCCCCUCUGGCCAUGUGUUCUGAAAUGUGAGGAGGGCCUCUGGGCUCUGUGUGGUGAUUGCUGGAUGAAGGCUAGUAGUGACCUUCUUGAAGGCUCGACGUCUUCCUUGCUGUAAACUCCCAACUUUUCAGGGGGCCUCAAACCCAAACUGGCUUCUGCUAGGGUGUUGCUGAGGCAUCUAUUUUGUUUCCUCAUUUUACUUUAAAAAUUCUAUCCUUAAGCCUAUACUUAUGCUAGCAUUCUGUUCUUUUAGCUGAUGUCUGCCCAUAUUGGGUGAUAACAUUGGUCACUAUUCCACACACAUCAUGGUCACAGUCAAGGAAAUUUUCUGUCAACCACAUUUGGUGAUUCUGCAUAUAGAAAGAGGCCCAGGCAAACCUAAACAUGCCUCAGUCAGGCUUGGGUCCAUGCUCUGCCCUGUGAAUGUCCCACUGAAGCCAUGCAGUAGCUUCACGCAUCAGUGGGACCACUGCUGCAGGGACUGGCAUUGGGGCAGGUAAGACCCCAGUUUGGCAAUGAAAAUAACCUUCUGCUCCCUGCCCCUGAGAAUCUAGAACCUGUUACUUGUAGAAUAGAAUGGCCCUGGAAGGUGCAAGUAGGACUGAAGUGGCAUGGCCUACUCCCACCUCGUGGGAGAUUACUGGAGGUGGAUGGUUUGGUACCUCCUCCAGUAAUCAGCACAUGGGUUAGUGACAUCAUGGUCAGCACUUAUGUCUUCAUUACUAAAGGGACCCAAAUCAUGUCCCUAUGUCAGAUCAGGAUCCCCCUUUCGGUACCUGAUAUAGUUACGCAGCUACAGAUAUCAGGCUAAAGGGUGUGGUACAGAUGGCUGGGACAUCACAGAAUCAUAGGGCUUGGAAGCGACCUCCAGAGGUCAUCAAGUCUGACCACCCUGCAAAGCAGGCCCCCUACAGUAGGCUACACAGGUAGGCAUCCAGAUAGGUCUUGAAUAUCUCCAGGGAAGGAGAAUCCACAACCUUCCCAGGCAGGCUGUUCUAAUGCUGUGUUAUCCUCACUGUGAAGAAGUUCCUUUAUAUAUUGGUGCGGAACUUUCUAUGCUCAAGUUUAUGGCUAUUUCCCCUUGUCCCAUCCCCACAGACCACUGAAAAGAGGUUGGCCAUGUCUCUUUGACUCCCAUACGUAAUGUUUGUAAAUAUCUUAAUAAGAUCCUCUCAGAGUCUUUUGUCAAGGCUGAACAGAUGCAUUCCACUCAGCCUCUCCUCACAGGGGAGGUGCUCCAGGUCCUGUGUCAUCUUUGUGGCCCUCUGCUGGACUCUCUCCAGAAGAUCCUAGUCUUUGUACCAGGGAGCCCAGAACUGGAUACAGUACUCUAGGUAAGUCCUGACAAGGGCAGAGUAGAGGAGGAGGAUCAUUUCCCUCAACCUGCCAGCCACACUCCUUGUAAGGCACCCCAGGAUCCCAUUGGCCUUUUCAGCCACCAGGGCACACUGCUGGCUCAUGGCCAACCUGUGGGGUUUGCAGCCCUAAAAUGAGAUGGAAAGUCCUGUUCCUUGACCUAGACUCUGGAAGAACACAGCUGGUAGCUGGAAGGGAGUUUGUUGUUAUGAAAUUAGGAUGGAGGAAGAACCGCUUGUCCUGCUUUGAAAUAUAGGUUGUGAUAAUGCAGAACAGGAAGACAUGCCAGCAGGAUGUGGGGCGCUGUUAAAUCUUUGUAAAUAACGCCAGGUGGCUUUUAUAUAACUGAUAUUUACUAACAAGUAAGCUAAUUAAUCAUAGAACCAUUUGUCAGCAAUUAAUGGAACAGUAUAAAAGAAGAAAACAGAACACAAUAAAGUGGACAUCAGUAGCAUUCAUAUUGAGUGUAUUACUGUGUCUCAUUCUUCGCCGCCACACCAACCCAUCACCCACCAGGAAUCCCAAGUCCUUCUCCACAGAGACCCUCUCCAGCAGGUCAUCCCCCAACCUGUACUGAUACUUGCCAGGUGCAGGACUCUACAGUUG